rnacentral:rRNA from 1 species
UACGUAGGGGGCAAGCGUUGUCCGGAUUUAUUGGGCGUAAAGAGCGUGUAGGCGGCCAAGCAGGUCCGCUGUGAAAACUCGAGGCUCAACCUCGAGACGUCGGUGGAAACCGUUUGGCUAGAGUCCGGAAGAGGAGAGUGGAAUUCCCGGUGUAGCGGUGAAAUGCGCAGAUAUCGGGAAGAACACCCGUGGCGAAGGCGGCUCUCUGGGACGGUACUGACGCUGAGGAGCGAAAGCGUGGGGAGCGAACAGG